rnacentral:sRNA from 2 species
CGUGCGCCGACGCCGAAUCCCGCACGCGCUUUUCACGCACCCCCACCUCGAACUGCACCAAGGGAACCGGGGAACCACUUCCUUGGGGUGAAUCGGACGCCCUCCGCCAGGGGGCGCCCGUAGGAGACCUUCCUGCUCCGAACCCGUCAGCUAACCCGGUAGGCGAGAAGGAAGGAAAGG